rnacentral:rRNA from 1 species
UACGAAGGGUGCAAGCGUUACUCGGAAUUACUGGGCGUAAAGCGUGCGUAGGUGGUUUCUUAAGUCUGAUGUGAAAGCCCUGGGCUCAACCUGGGAAUUGCAUUGGAUACUGGCAGGCUAGAGUGCGGUAGAGGGUAGUGGAAUUCCCGGUGUAGCAGUGAAAUGCGUAGAGAUGUGGAGGAACACCGAUGGCGAAGGCAGCCCCCUGGGCUAACACUGACGCUCAUGCACGAAAGCGUGGGGAGCAAACAGG